rnacentral:rRNA from 1 species
GACGGAGGAUGCAAGCGUUAUCCGGAAUGAUUGGGCGUAAAGCGUCCGCAGGUGGCAGUUCAAGUCUGCUGUCAAAGACCGGGGCUUAACUUCGGAAAGGCAGUGGAAACUGAACAGCUAGAGUAUGGUAGGGGCAGAGGGAAUUCCUGGUGUAGCGGUGAAAUGCGUAGAGAUCAGGAAGAACAUCGGUGGCGAAGGCGCUCUGCUGGUCCAUAACUGACACUCAGGGACGAAAGCUAGGGGAGCGAAUGGG